rnacentral:tRNA from 1 species
AGUGUGUUGGCAGAAUAGUGCAAUUGACUUAGGAUCAAUAUAUGGAGUAAUUCACACACUA